rnacentral:rRNA from 1 species
GUAUGAGAAGGGCAUUCGGUGGAUGCCUGGCACUAGGAGGCGACGAGGACGUAGCAGCUGCGAUAAGCUGUGGGAGCCGCAGCAGGCAUUGAUCCGCAAUUUCGAUGGGGCAACCCACCCAGCGAUGGGUAUCGUGAUCUGAAUACUAGGGUUACGAGGCGACCGGGGAACUGAAACAUCUCAGUACCUGGAGGAAAAGACAUCAAUUGAGAUUCGCUAGUAGUGGCGAGGACGCGGAACAGGCCAGUCAUUUUGAGAAAAGCGAACAGUCUGGAAGGGCUGACCAUAGUGGGUGACAGUCCCGUAUGUGUAGUGUUUUGGAAUGUUGAGUAGGGCGGGGCACGUGAACCUGUCUGACAUGGGGGGACCACCUCCAGCCUAAUACUCCUAGUGACGAUAGGAACAAGUACCGUGAGGAAAGGUGAAAAGCACCCCGACGAGGGGAGUGAAAGAGACCUGAAACCGGAUGCCUACAAGCGUCGGAGCCUCUUAUGGGGUGACGGCGUACCUUUUGUAUAUGGGUCAGCGAGUUUCUGUUUGCAGCGAGCUUAAGCCGUUAGGUGUAGGCGUAGCGAAGCGAGUCUGAAUAGGGCGCAUAGUUGCUGGCAGAAGACCCGAAACCGAGUGAUCUAGCCAUGGCCAGGCUGAAGGUGCGGUAACACGCACUGGAGGCCGAACCACGCCUGUUGAAAAAGUCGGGAUGAGCUGUGGCUAGGGUGAAAGGCCAAUCAAACUCGGAGAUAGCUGGUUCUCCGCGAAAUCUAUUGAGGUAGACCGUCAGGUGGUUACCCGGGGGUAGAGCACUGGAUGGGCUAGGGGGCCCAAAGCCUUACCAAACCCAACCAAACUCCGAAUACCCGAAGUAUAGCCUGGCAGACGACAGUGGGUGCUAAGGUCCAUUGUCGAGAGGGAAACAGCCAGACACCAGCUAGGCCCCAAUCGUGGCUAAGUGGGAAAGGAUGUGGGGAUUCCAUAACAACAGGAGGUUGGCUUAGAAGCAGCCAUCCUUUAAAGAAAGCGUAAUAGUCACUGGUCUAAUAGAAACCCUGCGCCGAAAUGUAACGGGGCUCAAGCCACGUGCCGAGCUGUGGGUGCAUAUCUAUGAUAUGCGCGGUAGCGGGCGUUCCGUAAGUCAGUGAAGGAGACGGGGUGACCCUCUCUGGAGAUAUCGGAAGUGCGAAUGCUGACAUGAGUAGCGACAACAGUGCGAGAAACACUGUCGCCGAAAGUCCAGGGUUCCUGCGCAGGUUAAUCCACGCAGGUUAGUCGGCCCCUAAGGCGAGGGCGAGAGCCGUAGUCGAUGGGAAACAGGUGAAUAUUCCUGUACCUGCCAGAAGUGACGAAUGCGAUAUGUUGUCAGGUCUUAACGGAUUGAUCUGGCUUUUGGAGCAUUCCAGGAAAUAGCUCUGGCGUAUAGACCGUACCCGAAACCGACACAGGUGGACUGGUAGAGAAUACCAGGCGCUUGAGAGACGAUGCUGAAGGAACUAGGCAAAUUGCUCGUGUAACUUCGGGAUAAGCGAGACCCGUUGGUGGGAACCAUUGGCGGGUGCACAGACCAGGGGUAGCGAUGUUUAUUAAAACACAGACUCUGCGAAGUCGAAAGACGACGUAUAGGGUCUGACGCCUGCCCGGUGCGGAAGGUUAGAGGAGUGUGAGAGCACUGAAUUGAAGCCCCGGUAAACGGCGGCCGUAACUAUAACGGUCCUAAGGUAGCGAAAUUCCUUGUGGUAAGUUCCGACCUGCACGAAUGGCGUAACGACUUCCCGCUGUCUCCAGCAUCGGCUCAGCGAAAUUGAAUUCCCCGUGAAGAUGCGGGGUAUCCGGUCAGACGGAAAGACCCUAUGAACUUUACUGCAGCUUUACAUGGCAUCAGACAUUCUGUGUAGGAUAGGUGGGAGGCUUUGAAGCAGGGGCGCCAGUUCCUGUGGAGCCAUCCUUGAAAUACCACCCUGAAUUUUUCUGAUGUCUACCGUGGUCAGUUAGCUGAUCCGGACCUGUAUGGUGGGCAGUUUGACUGGGGCGGUCGCUCCCAAAGUGUAACGGAGGCGCGCGAUGGUGGCUCAGGCCGGUCGGAAACCGGCUGUUGAGUGCAAUGGCAUAAGCCGCCUGACUGCGAGAGUGACAGCUCGAGCAGAGACGAAAGUCGGCCAUAGUGAUCCGGUGGUCCCGCGUGGAAGGCCAUCGCUCAACGGAUAAAAGGUACUCUAGGGAUAACAGGCUGAUUCCCCAAGAGUCCACAUCGACGGGGAGGUUUGGCACUCGAUGUCGGCUCAUCACAUCCUGGGGCUGGAGCAGGUCCCAAGGGUUCGGCUGUUCGCCGAUUAAAGUGGUACGUGAGCUGGGUUUAGAACGUCGUGAGACAGUUCGGUCCUAUCUGCCGUGGAUGUUGGAGACUUGAGGGAUUUGUCCCUAGUACGAGAGGACCGGGAUGACAUACCUCUGGUGCACCGGUUGUCGCGCCAGCGGCACCGCGGGUAGCUAAGUAUGGAAGGAUAACGCUGAAAGCAUCUAAGCGGGAAACCCACCUCAAAACUAGGUCUCCCUGAGGGUCGUGGUAGACCACCACGUUAAUAGGCCAGGUGUGAAAGCGCGGUAACGCGUGCAGCUAACUGGUCCUAAUCACCAAUAGGCUCACUC